GCCCGGCCCGGCGGGGCUGCGGGUCACCUGCCUUCCCCCCGACCCGGCCUCGCUGAGGGGAAACAGCGCGGGGAAUCGUCGCUGCUGGGCGUGGAAGAUGCUGAAAGGAACGGGGGUGUCUUCUAAAAGGGUGUACGUGCCUCGUUAUCGAGCUUAUCGCGUAAGAUUUCAGUCAUGUUCAUCGCCAUGGUGCUGACUACUGCAUGGAAUAACCAGGAAACUGCAGCUUUCCCCUCCCCUGCACAAACGUACAUAGACGUGGGCUCCAGUUGAUUUCCUCUUGUGAAAAAAUACUGCUGCCUUGUUUAUUUUUAGUUAUUGAUCUUGCCAGCUUUUUGUGAGAAAGUCAUCAGGAUGGACUUAGCCCUUGCACAGGCUUUGAAUUCACUUUAAUAUCAGAAUUAAAAUCCAGGGCCAGCUCUGCUAUUCAAGGGGUGCAUCUGCAGUUCAGGCAAUGUGAAAAGAAGAAGCCUACUGCCAGGAUGCGCUCAGGUGAGGACACAAAGGGUUAGCACCGAGUCCUGGAUCUGGACCUGGCAUUCCUGAGUGGAGAGCAAAGAUGAGCUAAUUACGGAUUUCUACAGAGACCUGCAACUGUGUAUUUUGAAUGCCCAAGGACCUAGAAGCUGGCUGCAGGGCACCUACACUCAGGACCAGUUAAGGAAAUCCAUCUGCUUUCCAGAAGUAACAUUUGCCUCUGCUCAGCACUCUCUGCUUGUGAGAUCAAAAUGCACCUAGAUUUAUGUCAGGCCUGCUCACAGCCUACGUGGCUCACCGGCAGCACUGACUGCAGUGAAAUCCCAGUUUCUCCUAAUGCCGUAGAAGACAAGCAGAAAAAGAAGGAUGCCAACCUACGAAGCAGAACUUUUCUGGCAAGACAACACAUGAUCCACUUCCAUCAAAGUAAACUCUGAGCCCAAGCAAAGCACAGCAGAUCUGAGUUAGUAUUACAUGGCUAGUAAUUAUACCUCUGGAACUUCAUUAGCUUUUGAUAAAUCUUCCACACAUCUACCCUCAAAGCAUCCUCUUGAAUUUCAUACAUUCAUUUUGGGUUUUGAUGGCUGUGCUAUAAAGGCAAAGAAAAUUUAUAUUCAAUCCAAUUAGGAAACAGAUUUUCUUCCUUGUGAAAAUUUAAGGAAAGUAAGAGGGUAGUUUGGUUUGGUUUGGUUCAAUUUUAUCUAAA